rnacentral:misc_RNA from 1 species
GAAAUGCGGUAAGUAAUGUGAAUUGCAGAAUUCAGUGAAUCAUCGAAUCUUUGAACGCACCUUGCGCUCCUUGGUAUUCCGAGGAGCAUGCCUGUUUGAGUGUCAUGGAAUUCUCAACUCUAUUUGCUUUUGUGAAUAGAGCUUGGAUUUGGAGGUUUAUUGCUGGUACUUGUGAUCGGCUCCUCUUGAAUGCAUUAGCUCGAACCUUUGCGGAUCAGCUAUCGGUGUGAUAAUUGUCUACGCCGUUGCAGUGAAGCAUAUCAAUGGGCUCGGCUUCCAAUCGUCCUUUACUGGACAAUGACUUUGACCUUUGACCUCAAAUCAGGUAGGAUUACCCGCUGAACUUAAGC